UUGGAGGGCAAGUCUGGUGCCAGCAGCCGCGGUAAUUCCAGCUCCGAUAGCGUAUAUUAAAGUUGUUGCAGUUAAAAAGCUCGUAGUUGAAUUUCGGGAUCGACGUGACGGUCGUGCCUUACGGGGUAUGAACUGUCGCAGUUGAUUUCUCACCUUCUGGAGAAGCUCGAUGUCCUUAAUUGGGUGUCUUGCGGAACCAGGACCUUUACCUUGAAAAAAUUAGAGUGUUUAAAGCAGGCAUUUUGCUCGAAUACAUUAGCAUGGAAUAAUAGAAUAGGACGGCAUGGUUCUAUUUUGUUGAUUUCUAGGAUCACCGUAAUGAUUAAUAGGGAUAGUUGGGGGCAUUAGUAUUCAAUUGUCAGAGGUGAAAUUCUUGGAUUUAUUGAAGACUAACUACUGCGAAAGCAUUUGCCAAGGAUGUUUUCAUUAAUCAAGAACGAAAGUUAGGGGAUCGAAGACGAUCAGAUACCGUCGUAGUCUUAACCAUAAACUAUGCCGACUAGGAAUCAGACGAUGUUAAUUUUUUAAUGACUCGUUCGGCGCCUUACGGGAAAC
rnacentral:rRNA from 1 species